AAGGCAUACGGCUCAGUAACGCGUAGUCAACCUAACCUAUGGACGGGAAUAACCUCGGGAAACUGAGAAUAAUGCCCGAUAGAACAUUAUGCCUGGAAUGGUUUAUGUUCCAAAUGAUUUAUCGCCGUAGGAUGGGACUGCGGCCUAUCAGUUUGUUGGUGAGGUAAUGGCCCACCAAGACUAUUACAGGUACGGGCUCUGAGAGGAGUAGCCCGGAGAUGGGUACUGAGACACGGACCCAGGCCCUAUGGGGCGCAGCACGCGAGAAAACUUUGCAAUGUGCGAAAGCACGACAAGGUUAAUCCGAGUGGUUUCUGCUAAAGAAACCUUUUGUCAGUCCUAGAAACACUGAUGAAUAAGGGGUGGGCAAGUUCUGGUGU
rnacentral:rRNA from 1 species